rnacentral:rRNA from 1 species
GAGACAGCAGCAGCCGCGGGAAUACGAAGGGGGCUAGCGUUGCUCGGAAUCACUGGGCGUAAAGGGUGCGUAGGCGGGUCUUUAAGUCAGGGGUGAAAUCCUGGAGCUCAACUCCAGAACUGCCUUUGAUACUGAAGAUCUUGAGUUCGGGUGAGGUGAGUGGAACUGCGAGUGUAGAGGUGAAAUUCGUAGAUAUUCGCAAGAACACCAGUGGCGAAGGCGGCUCACUGGCCCGAUACUGACGCUGAGGCACGAAAGCGUGGGGAGCAAACAGGAUUAGAUACCCGUGUAGUCCCUGUCUCUUAUAC